GACGUAGGGAGCGAGCGUUGUCCGGAUUUACUGGGCGUAAAGAGCACGUAGGCGGUCUGUUAAGUGAGAAGUGAAAUCUCCAGCGCUCAACGCGGAAACGGCUUUUCAUACUGGCAGACUUGAGGGAUGCAGAGGCAAGUAGAAUUCCUGGUGUACCGGUGACAUGGGUUGAUAUCAGGAGGAAUACCAAUGGCGAAGGCAGCUUGCUGGGCAUCAUCUGACGCUGAGGUGCGAAAGCGUGGGUAGCAAA
rnacentral:rRNA from 1 species